rnacentral:lncRNA from 1 species
UUGGGUAGAAGUUGUUGUGUUUAUGGAUCUGAUUCUUGGUGGGGUAGCUCCGAUUUGCUUGAACCUUGAUGGCCUCCUUGGAUUUCUCCACACCUCAGCGGUCAUGGGAAACUCCAUUCCCCUCCAUCGUUUUUGGCAGCGUGGGGGUGAGGGUCAGUGGAUGUGGAAGGGAGAAGGAGUGGGCUGCGGAGGAGGGCGGUGGGGGAAGGAAAAGGGGGUGGGGAGGGAGAGGAG